rfam:Schistosoma curassoni strain Dakar, Senegal genome assembly, scaffold: SCTD_scaffold0000571
AUCCAGCUGACGAGUGUCAAAAAUGACGAAACGUGCGUCAAACUAGAU